UAUGCUAUAAACAAAACUAAAUGUAUGUUAUAAUUUUAAAUAGUAUGUUUGAAGUGAAAGCAAAAUAAAAAAGCCCUUUUCAUUUAAAAAACACCAGAUGGAAAUGUGGCCGAAAAUGUUCGAUUUUUCCAACUAAAACAGCUCCCUGUGUGUUUACAGGAAUCCUACGUGCCUUUAAAACAGCAGCACCUGAAGACUGAAGGACUGAAAUCCUGUAAACUCUCCAGGCCACCAAGAACCAGUACCAGGGUCCCAGGGGGAAGGAACUCUGGUCCUGAACGGCACGACAACACUAACACAAGGAGUAAGAGGCAGGCUAGCAGAAAGCCUGAGGACAAAGCAGACAUGUUCAAUUGUCCAAACCACACCUGAGUUGUUUUAUUAAACAUGUUUGUUGGUGUUUCAAUAAAGGAUAGAAAUAUAAUGUUAAUACAUAUCAGUCAUGAAGCGAAAUUUGUGCUGCACCUUGUAUUGUACACUACUGUACAUAGACAGUUGACAGUAUUAGACUGUAAAGUUCUGGAACUUUUUUGCCAAGGUAAAUAUUUGUAAAUUUGAUUGUACAAAACAAUAAACAUCUGGUACUUGUA